rnacentral:tRNA from 1 species
GGUCCAGUGGCGGAACUGGUAUACGCACAGCACUUAAAAUGCUGCGCCGCAAGGCAUAUGGGUUCGACUCCCAUCUGGACCACCA